rnacentral:rRNA from 1 species
GACGAACGCUGGCGGCGUGCUUAGCACAUGCAAGUCGAACGGUAAGGCCCUUCGGGGUACACGAGUGGCGAACGGGUGAGUAACACGUGGGUGAUCUGCCCUGCACUUCGGGAUAAGCCUGGGAAACUGGGUCUAAUACCGGAUAGGACCACUGCCUGCAUGGGUGGUGGUGGAAAGCUUUUGCGGUGUGGGAUGGGCCCGCGGCCUAUCAGCUUGUUGGUGGGGUGAUGGCCUACCAAGGCGACGACGGGUAGCCGGCCUGAGAGGGUGACCGGCCACACUGGGACUGAGAUACAGCCCAGACUCCUACGGGAGGCAGCAGUGGGGAAUAUUGCACAAUGGGCGCAAGCCUGAUGCAGCGACGCCGCGUGAGGGAUGACGGCCUUCGGGUUGUAAACCUCUUUCAGCACCGACGAAGCGCAAGUGACGGUAGGUGCAGAAGAAGGACCGGCCAACUACGUGCCAGCCGCCGCCGUAA